rnacentral:rRNA from 1 species
AGAGUUUGAUCCUGGCUCAGACGAACGCUGGCGGCGUGCUUAACACAUGCAAGUUGAACGAGAAGUUUCUAACUGAUUUUUUCGGAAUGAUUUUGGAAAUGGACAGUAGCGAACGGGUGAGUAACGCGUGGGUAACCUACCUUGAACAGGGGGACAACACCGGGAAACUGGUGCUAAUACCGCAUAGUUGAUACCAUGGCAUCAUGGAAUCAGAAAAGGAGUAAUCCGGUUUAAGAUGGACCCGCGUCCAAUUAGCUUGUUGGUGAGGUAACGGCUCACCAAGGCGACGAUGGGUAGCCGACCUGAGAGGGUGACCGGCCACACUGGGACUGAGACACUGCCCAGACUCCUACGGGAGGCUGCAGUCGAGAAUCGUUCGCAAUAGGCGAAAGCCUGACGACGCAAUGCCGCGUGUAUGAAGAAGGCCCUCGGGUUGUAAAAUACUUUGAGCAGGGAAGAAAGCUUACAUGUUAAUAGCAAGUAAGUUUGACGGUACCUGCAGAACAAGCCCCGGCUAAAUUCGUGCCAGCAGCCGCGGUAAUACGAAUGGGGCAAGCGUUGUUCGGAUUAACUGGGCGUAAAGGGGGUCUAGGUUGUUUACUAAGUUUCCUGUGAAAACCCGGAGCUCAACUCCGUGGAUUGCAGGGAAAACUAUUAAACUAGAGUGUGCGAGAUGCGUGCGGAAUACUGGGUGUAGCGGUGAAAUGCGUAGAUAUCCAGUAGAACACCAGCGGCGAAAGCGGCCCGCAUGCGCACUACUGACACUGAAGCCCGAAAGCGUGGGGAGCGAACAGGAUUAGAUACCCUGGUAGUCCACGCCGGUAAACGAUGUGCACUAGAUGUGGGGUGGUAUCGACCCUACCCGUGUCGUAGCUAACGCGUUAAGUGCACCGCCUGGGGACUACGGCCGCAAGGCUAAAACUCAAAGGAAUUGACGGGGGCCCGCACAAGCGGU